GAUGAACGCUGGCGGCGUGCCUAAUACAUGCAAGUAGAACGCUGAAGGAGGAGCUUGCUCUUCUGGAUGAGUUGCGAACGGGUGAGUAACGCGUAGGUAACCUGCCUGGUAGCGGGGGAUAACUAUUGGAAACGAUAGCUAAUACCGCAUGACAACAGUUAUUGCAUGAUAACUGUUUAAAAGGGGCAACUGCUCCACUACCAGAUGGACCUGCGUUGCAUUAGCUAGUUGGUGAGGUAACGGCUCACCAAGGCGACGAUACAUAGCCGACCUGAGAGGGUGAUCAGCCACCCUGGGACUGAGACACGGCCCAGACUCCUACAGGAGGCAGCAGUAGGGAAUCUGCGGCAAUGGGCGGAAGUCUGACCGAGCAACGCCGCGUGAGUGAAGAAGGUUUUCGGGUCGGAAAGCUCUGUUGUAAGGGAAGAACGAGUUUGAGAGUGGAAAGUUCACACUGUGACGGUAUCUUACCAGAAAGGGACGGCUAACUACGUG
rnacentral:rRNA from 1 species